rnacentral:rRNA from 1 species
UCUCUACGGGGGGCAGCAGUUAGGAAUAUUCGUCAAUGGGGGAAACCCUGAACGAGCAAUGCCGCGUGAGUGAUGAAGGUCCUUUGGAUUGUAAAACUCUGUUGUAUGGGAAGAACGACCAGACUAGGAAAUGAGUUUGGAGUGACGGUACCAUGCCAGAAAGCUCCGGCUAACUACGUGCCAGCAGCCGCGGUAAUACGUAGGGAGCGAGCGUUAUCCGGAUUUAUUGGGCGUAGAGGGUGCGUAGGCGGCUUGUUAAGUAUGAAAUUAAAGCCCGGGGCUUAACUCCGGUUCGUUUCAUAAAC